AUUGCUGAUUGCUCUGCAUGCUGAAAGCACACCAAAUAGCAUGCAUUGGCUGUGAUUCAUUGUCCCUUUCUCCACACACAGAUGGAUGCACACAUUUGCACACACAGAAUCACAAGAUUUGGUUCCUUCUCAGAUGUAUGCCUCUGGUACUGCUGGAUCCCUUCAAUUCACACAUGCAGGAAAAACAAAUCCUAUUAUUUGUUCCAUGGGGCUAGAAAAACACUGUGGAAAAAAGGCUAGCCUUUAAGCACCUCAAGGCAUUUUAAACACAUAAAUAUUAAUGUCUGUAUGCAAUAGAUUUGUGGAGAUAUGCCGAUACUGAAUUUGGAAACAUGAAUAUCCAAGCACCUGAUGUAAACAUUAAAGAAAAAGUAAAGUCAUUGCAUUAUACCUCAGUAGGACAAGACUUCUACAUGCCAGACAAGAUCACUCUCAGCCAUGCACUGUGGAGUGCACCAGUGGAUAUUUUGCACAGCAGCUCCAUGCCAGAGCAGCCCUCUUGGCUUUCCCAGCAUUGCUGCAGGGCAGAUUUGUGUCCUGGCAGCAUUCUACUGGGAAGUGAUGGGUGGACCCACCAGGGCCCAUCACCACUAUUACUCAUGAGAUAAAGUCCAACUCAGCAUCCUCAGGUGUUAAGGAACACAGAAUAUUUUAUAAAUACAUGGGAAAGGAGUGGACAGUUAAUGUAUUAUCCAGCAGCCCUUUCAUGAUUUUCUUCAAAAAUAGCUAUAAUCUCAGUUGUGUGAAAUGAAUGUAAAACUCUAAAUAUGAAUGAAAGUUGUAAAGCCUGUUAAUUGUUAACUGUUAAUUUGCAAGCUGAAGAAUCUAAUAAUGGUUGACUUUUACCUUAGAAUCAACCACAUAUAAUACUCUCAGCUGGAACUGAAGUAUCAUCAAAAGCCAAAUAAAACCUGAAUUUAAUAAACAAAAAUAUCUUUAGCGAUAUCUUGCAAGGAUACCUGUCAGUGUAUAUCUCCCUCACCAAGGAACUGGUUAUAUCAGAUCACUGAAGUGAAAGCCAAUGUACUGCACUGUACAGGAGAUGUGACAGCACCAUUAGCUGUUACAAAAUGCCUUUCACAAAAUGAAAACAGUACCAAAAAAGAAAAACAAAUAUCACUGUAACCUUCAGGCUGCAAAUAUAAAACUCAGGGUACUGAAGACAUGAAUAAAGCAACCUUUCUGAAAAGAAAGGUUUCACAAAGUGGUCAUCUGUUUAGAACCUCACUACU